GUGCCAGCCGCCGCGGUAAUGCGUAGGGUGCGAGCGUUAAUCGGAAUUACUGGGCGUAAAGCGUGCGUAGGCGGUUUACUAAGUCAGAUGUGAAAGCCCCGGGCUUAACCUGGGAACUGCAUUUGAUACUGGUAGGCUAGAGUAUGAUAGAGGGGGGUAGAAUUCCUGGUGUAGCGGUGAAAUGCGUAGAUAUCAGGAGGAAUACCAGUGGCGAAGGCGGCCCCCUGGAUCAAUACUGACGCUGAGGUACGAAAGCGUGGGUAGCGAACAGGAUUAGAAACCCCAGUAGUCC
rnacentral:rRNA from 1 species